ACGAGCAUAAAAUUGUUGAGCUCGAACAAGCUCCGAGUCCGGGAAACCACUCGAGAUCGACAACAUUUUGAAUUUAUACGGGUUUUUCCUCAAAUUAAUUGAGAAUAGUUCAAGUACUUAUUGAAUUAAUUAAUCAAGUAUUAGGAUGCUAGUGUAGUGAUUAGUAUCCAUUUCGAUUGUGCUCAUCUCUCCCUUCCCCGCAAGAUCCAGCUUGUAAUUUGCAGAGAUUCAUGGCGAAUGCGUGGAGACGAAACCAGUCCACCAAAAUCCUGACCCCCAAAAACCUCGUUCUCUUCAUCUCCACCUCCCUCCUCCUCCUCAUCUUCCUCCACCUCUCCUCCCAAACUCCCACCAGAAAUCCUAGCACCAAAUCCAUCAAAGAUUCAAUUUCGCAGCGGGCCAUCAAGCCCUUCGAUUGCCUCGCGGCCCCACAGGCCCACCCCGUCGUGGCCAACACCGUGGAGGGCCUCAAGUUCCCCUUCCUCUACUCGCUCUCCGACUUCGGAACCUUGCCCGACAAGCCCCACAAGAACAUCGUCCGCACACUCAAGGGGAAGCCCUUUCGCCGCCCCGAUAUAUCAGCCACGGUGCAGGAGCUGCUGGGGGAGAUCAAGCCGCGCGAUAGGGAAGGGGUUUUUGUUGACGUCGGCGCUAAUGUGGGGAUGGCGAGCUUCGCUGCGGCGGUGAUGGGGUUCAGAGUGCUUGCCUUCGAGCCGGUUUUCGAGAAUUUACAGAGGAUUUGCGAUGGGAUUUAUUUCAAUAGAGUUGGGGAUUUGGUCGAGCUGUUCGAAGCCGCUGCCUCUGAUAGCUCCGGAAACAUCACAUUCCAUAAGUUGGUUGGUCGACUUGACAACAGCGCAGUCUCAGCCACUGGUGCUAAGAUGGCUUUUAAGUCGAAUGAAGAGAUUGCAGUUCAAGUGAGGUCCAUUCCUCUCGAUGAAGUGAUCCCAGUGUCUGAGCGCGUUCUUUUACUUAAGAUAGAUGUUCAGGGUUGGGAGUAUCACGUCCUAAAGGGCGCUUCAAAAUUACUAUCGAGAAACAAGAGUGAAGCCCCAUACCUCAUAUACGAAGAAGACCCUCGCUUAUUACAAGCGAGCAAUACUAGUGCACAUGAGAUAAGGGAGUUCCUUCGCACAAUGGGUUACCACAAAUGCACACAGCACGGCACAGAUGCACACUGCACGAAAACAGAUUGAAAUCUUCACCAAUUUACCACAUGAGGCACUUACAUGUAAUAUGAUAGGCAAUCGAUCAAGUCGUGCAGUUUUCUAACAGAUGGCCAUGCCUUUGAACGAAUGAUUUCUGCAAUGCUGAGAAAGAGGAUAGACUUGAUUUGCAGGUGUUCAGUAAAGAACUCACUUACCUGAAGGUUGAUUUGGAUGUCUGCAGAUGGUUGAGUGUUUUUUAACCAUCCAUAUAGUAUUCGUAAGAUGAAUGAUCUUUUCAGCUAAAGAAAUUUUAAGACUUAAAUAAUUCAUUUUGCAUCAUCCAUCUUGAAGAUUUUGUGCUUUAAAAUGGAAGCUGUAACCUUUCGUCUAGGAUCUGGGAUCAGUGCUCCUUUAGGAUACAGCGCAGACUUUUAGGCUGUUCAAUUGUUAUUACUAAGCUUUUUAAGUUUUAAAAAGCCUCUACUUUGCAAUUUCCUAUGAACAAUUUGAAAUGUGGAGACCAUAAUGUUUUUGUGUGGUGACAAUAUACUGCAUACCUUUUAAUACUUGCAAAACAGUUUAACAGACAGUUUUCUCCAUCCGUUAGGUUUCAUACUUGUCCAAAAUAUAUUCACUUGUUGGUUUGACCUUUUUACGAAUAAUAGGUGCUCGAGUUGCUUGAUAUUGUCCAGUUUGAGUCUUGAUAUCAGUUUGAAGUCGUUGCAGUUUGUUUUUAGUGCAAAAUACUCAUCCCUGGUAAGGUGAAAUCAUUUUUGCAUUAGUAUAUUUACUUUAUCUAAUGCUAUAUGCUUUGCAGGCUGAGCAUAUCCUCACCAGCCCAAAAACAUCAGGAAGGGGUUGUCUAGGGAUGGCAAUAAUACCCGCGGGUUCGGGCACACGCCCCUAAUGGGCCGGGUCUAUGGUUGAAAUUUUGGGGCCAGAUUCGGGGGCCGGUAUGAAACUUAUACCCAGGGCGGGUUCGGGGUAUAGGUACCCGCCCCGAUUGUAUUUUUAUAUGUCUGAUAGAGUUUUUGUUAGAAGAUAUAUUUGAGUUCUAAUUGGUGAAAUUGGUUUGUUUGUGAUGCUGAAUAAUACUCUUAUUUAUUUUGAGUUUAUAUGUUUGAUGGAAUGGAUAAAAUGCUUGUUGUAUAAGAAAAUCUUGCAAAAUAAAUAAAUAAAUAAAUUGGUGGGUACCCGACGGGUACCCUUCCUCCGCUGGAUAAUCCCAGCCCCGAACCCGCCCCGAUUUAAAUGGGUAUGGAGGCGGAUAUGGGGGUAAUGUUUUGAGAUAUGGGGGUGUAAAAGCAAUCCCUGACCCAAACCCGCCCCGUUGCCAUCCCUAGGGUUGACUAUUACAGUUCAGAACAUGGAGAUCGGCUUAUCCUAGACUUUGGCAGAAGCUCAAUUUGUAUGACGACCAAUCAAGUACUUUUGGGAGUGAAGCUGAGUUGAACGAAACAAGAGAAGCAAUUCAACAACUUUUAAGAUGGGGAUGGAAAUACCACAAGAUCCUUGAGGAACAAGCUGCUAGCUACAUAUGUAAACAAGCUGGUCUCAGAAUGUUGAGGUUCGCUUGAUCUUAUCAUCUUCCUUAAUAUUCUAUAAUUAAGAGCCCUACAUCACAGGAUUGAGUUGGCUCUGGCUCUGGGAGUUGAGGGCGAUUUUUUUUUGAUACUUUUAUACAUGCAUAAAGUCAAUCUUCCCAUUUUUCUAUUUUCUUGAUGUUGAAUUGUAACUUCAGAAAAUAAUAGGUGACAAGAUGCCAGCAAGUUGGUAAAAGAAAGUGUUGGUUUUGAUUUAAGAAGUUAAUUAUUUGGCAA